GACGUGUUUCCCACGAUGCACCGCCUCUGUCUUCUCUCGCGGCUGUCGUUCUUUACCCCUUGGUGCAAUCUUGCACAGAACCCUUUUGACAGAUGGAAGGGCUAUCUGAGCCUUGCGAAAGUGGUUACGGAGAUCAUCGCGGAACGCAAGAAGGUCCCAUUUCCAUCUCAGAGUUUGGACACAAUGGAGUACGACAUGCAGCUAGUCCUCAACGAGGACAACUUUGAAACAGCAUCACAAUGGGUUAAUGGAAGCAGUUCCAGCAGCAAGAGCUCCAAAGGUAGUGCCAAUGGCCAGGCUUCCCAAAACAAGGAGAUUUGCAAUUUCUGCAAACACAACGGGGAAUCCAAGCAGGUCUAUUCGUCCCACCGGCUGAAGGGGAUGGACGGCACCGUGGAGUGCCCCAUCUUGCGCAAAUACACCUGUCCGCUCUGCGGUGCCACGGGCGAAAAGGCCCAUACUUUAAAAUACUGCCCACUGAGCCAAGGGAAGAGGUCGCUGUAUCGCAAGUGCGGACGUAACUCGGCUGGACGCAAGGUGAGGAGAUAAGAAGAUCAGGAGAAGACCGAAGCAUUUAUUCUUAGUUUUAGUUUGACUUUGUAAAAGAACAACAUUUGAUUUCGAGCAUCAUUAACACUCUUUACAUUUCCUCCCACUUUGUUUCAGGUUUGGAGAAUGGAAGCCCAAUUCUCUUAGACUACAUUUAUGUGUCAGUUGCCUAGUGUGAUGAUUCAUGGGCCCUGCAGUCCUAUUCCUGACAGUAUUGUGGCAGAUGAGGAGGAAAAUAUGGAGUUUUCCCCAGAUUUCCGGUCGGAGUCAGAGCCUUGGCAGCUGCCUGAAGUUCUAGUCCAAGAACCAAUUAAACCUGACCUUGGUGGGAACUCUCCCCCUUAUGGGAGAAAACAGGCUUACACGACUGAUAGAGGAUCGAGAGAAAAAUUUAGAAGUACUGCUCGCCUUGCUGCCAAAUAUGCCACUGAUUAGAAGUAUUUCCCCUGAGAAAAUACGGGGAGUCUUGCACCUGCAAGCUGGUUUCCUUCGCUCCCUGUUCUCUAGGGAAAGUGAUUGUUGUUUGGGGAAACGAGACCCAAUAUAGGGAAAUUGCGCGAAGGAUUCCUUGCGGAGUCAAUUCGUCAGCUCCUGGAGAGAGGUCAUGUGUGUGUGGACUUCGAAUCCUGUUCCUUGCCUCCUGAAUCUAGUUCCAAGCCUUGUCCUCGUCUCACGGAUUUACCACAGAUCUUGUUCCAUGCUUCAAGUUGCUUUGCCUUUAGCCACAGCUCCAGCCACGUUCCAAGUAACUUUCAGCCUUGUGUCAAGCUUCAUUGGAUUCAAGACUUUUUCUGUUUUCCCAACGCUUUGCUUGGCAAAGCGUGUGUUGCGGUUAUUGGAUUAUAAUCUUUGGACUCUAAUAUUUCAUAUUGGACAAUAAUCUGCUGGACUAUAUUUGGCCUCAUUUGAAAGGUCUGCUUCUGAACUUUAUUCUACACUUGUUUUUAUUGACUUUAUAUAUUCCUUUAAUAAAGAUAUUAGAUAGAAUCUGGCCUCAGUGUAUGGUUAUUGGUGCCCAGCAGCCUAGAUCCUGACACCUUGUAUCAUGCUUUUUUAUACAUAUAAUCAUGUUUUUUACAUAUGUAAUAUCACGUUCCUUUGACAUCUGUAAUUGCCUUAUAUCAUAUUUUAUAUUGUGUUUUAUAUAUGCAGUUACUUUACAUGUUUCUUUUAUGUAUGGAUGUAUAAUUUUUACAUGUUUAAUUAUAUUAUUUGCAACUAUAAUUGCCUAAUAUCAUGCUUCUUUUAUAUAUGCAAUGACAUCAUGUUUAUUUAACGUAUAUAAGUGCCUUAUAUCAUGUCCGGGUUAUCAUGUGUGUCUCCAGAGGGAUGCAGCCCUAUCCUUUGCAGGGAAAAUAUAGAAAUAUCUUCUAAAUGGCUACUGUCUAGAAUUUUGUUUUGUAAAGAAAGGAAAAGUUUAUAUGCUAUUGGAAAGAAAGAUACUAUUUUAUGUUUAAAUUUUGGAAAGGAAUAGAAUUGGUUAUUAUUACUGUGGUCUAACCUUCAAUUGUUUGCAAGUUGUUCUAAAGUUUGGAUCGUAGAGUUUAAUAAACAGAGUUUAUGGUUUUGGCAUCAAAACUGUUCAUGUUGUGCUUAAAUGGGAUUGAAUUUUCUUUAAUUUGUGGCCCAUAAUAGGCUGGUUAUAAGCCUGAUCUGGAAGGCAGCCAAGGCAAAGACCAUUGAGCUGCUGAACUUGCAGACUGAAAGGUCCCAGGUUCAAAUCCCGGGAGCAGAGUGAGCGCCCGCUGUUAGCUCCAGCUUCUGCCAACCUAGCAGCUUGAAAACAUGCCAAUGUGAGUAGAUGAAUAGGUACCGCUGUGGCGGGAAGGUAAUGGCACUCCAUGUAGUCAUGCCGACCACAUGACCUUGGAGGUGUCUAUGGACAACACUGGCUCUUGGGGUUAGAAAUGGAGGUGAGCACAACCCCCAGAGUCAGACAUGACUGAACUUAACGUCAAGGGAUACCUUUACACACACACACAUGCAGGGACUACACCAAUUUAACAAAGUUUCAGCCACAAAAACAAAGUUUCUAAAGUAGAGCAAUGACUUUCACAGUAAAGACAACCCAAUUUAACAGGAAAUAAGACUUUCAAACCAGGAACAGAUUUCUGCAAUUAUUAAAAAAUGGUUCAUUAUAAAAGCUAUGAAAAUUUGCCAAAAAUCAGAGGAUAAGGGAAACGUUCCACAUUUUGGUGAGCUAUCAGUGUUAAAUGUGUUCUACCACUGUACCAAGUUUGAAGAAGAUCACUCAAAAAAUGAGGGCGGGAGAGCCCCCUAAGCCCCCCCCCCUUCGGGCUGUUUUUGGGCCACCGCGCAUGCGCGUCCGCCAUUAACGAAUUAAUUUCGAAAAUAACGAAUUUUCGUUAAUUUCGAAAAAUUUUGGGGGCCAAAUUCGUUAUUAGCAACAAAAACGAAAAACUGCCCCCUCUAGUUUUGAAACGAGUUUAGAAUCAAAUUUUUCAUGG